UACAGAGGGUGCAAGCGUUAAUCGGAAUUACUGGGCGUAAAGCGUGCGCAGACGGUUGCGUAAGUCAGAUGUGAAAGCCCCGGGCUCAACCUGGGAAUUGCAUUUGAGACUGCGUAGCUAGGGUGCGGAAGAGGGAAGCGGAAUUUCCGGUGUAGCGGUGAAAUGCGUAGAUAUCGGAAGGAACACCAGUGGCGAAGGCGGCUUUCUGGCCUGCUCUUGACGCUGAGGCGCGAAAGCUAGGGUAGCAAACGGG
rnacentral:rRNA from 1 species